rnacentral:rRNA from 1 species
CCCUUAGAUGUUCGGGGCCGCACGCGCGCUACACUGAAUGGAUCAACGUGCCUUUCCCGAGGCUGAAAGGUCGAGGUAAUCUGUUGAACCCCAUUCGUGACGGGGAUAGGAGCUUGCAAUUAUUCUCCUUGAACGAGGAAUUCCCAGUAAGCGCGAGUCAUCAGCUCGCGUUGAUUACGUCCCUGCCCUUUGUACACACCGCCCGUCGCUACUACCGAUUGGAUGGUUUAGCGAGAACUUUGGACCGGAGCUCGGGUGGUCAGCAAUGGCCGCCCGAGACAUACUGGGAAAUCGCUCCAGCUUGAUCAUCUAGAGGAAGUAAAAGUCGUAACA